GUGUCAGCCGCCGCGGUAAUACGUAGGGGGCAAGCGUUACUCGGAUUUAUUGGGCGUAAAGAGAAUUCAGGCGGUCAUGUAAGUCAGUGGUGAAAUACCUCGGCUCAACUGAGGAAUUGCCUUUGAUACUGCGUGACUCGAGGACAGGAGAGGAAGGCGGAAUUCCCGGUGUAGCGGUGGAAUGCGUAGAUAUCGGGAGGAACACCUGAGGCGAAGGCGGCUUUCUGGACUGGUCCUGACGCUGAUAUUCGAAAGCUAGGGGAGCAAACAGGAUUAGAUACCCUGGUAGUCCUAGCUGUAAACGAUGGAUACUAGAUCUUGCAUGAUUUUGCUUGGUCGAAGCUAACGCGUUAAGUAUCCCGCCUGGGGAGUACGGUCGCAAGGCUGAAACUUAAAUGAAUUGACGGGG
rnacentral:rRNA from 1 species